UACGAAGGGGGCUAGCGUUGUUCGGAAUUACUGGGCGUAAAGCGCGCGUAGGCGGUGAUCUUUGUCAGAGGUGAAAUCCCGAGGCUCAACUUCGGAAUUGCCUUUGAAACGGGAUCGCUUGAGUCCGAGAGAGGAUGGCGGAAUUCCUAGUGUAGAGGUGAAAUUCGUAGAUAUUAGGAAGAACACCGGUGGCGAAGGCGGUCGAUCGGUCGGACUGGUACGCGAGCGCGCAGGC
rnacentral:rRNA from 1 species